ACGUAGGUGGCAAGCGUUGUCCGGAUUUAUUGGGCGUAAAGCGAGCGCAGGCGGAAGAAUAAGUCUGAUGUGAAAGCCCUCGGCUUAACCGAGGAACUGCAUCGGAAACUGUUUUUCUUGAGUGCAGAAGAGGAGAGUGGAACUCCAUGUGUAGCGGUGGAAUGCGUAGAUAUAUGGAAGAACACCAGUGGCGAAGGCGGCUCUCUGGUCUGCAACUGACGCUGAGGCUCGAAAGCAUGGGUAGCGAACAGGAUUAGAAACCCGGGU
rnacentral:rRNA from 1 species